UACGAAGGGGGCUAGCGUUGCUCGGAAUCAUUGGGCGUAAAGCGCGUGUAGGCGGCUCGGUAAGUCUGCUGUGAAAGUCCAGGGCUCAACCCUGGGAUGCCGGUGGAUACUGUCGAGCUCGAGUCCGGAAGAGGCGAGUGGAAUUCCUGGUGUAGCGGUGAAAUGCGCAGAUAUCAGGAGGAACACCAAUGGCGAAGGCAGCUCGCUGGGACGUGACUGACGCUGAGACGCGAAAGCGUGGGGAGCAAACAGG
rnacentral:rRNA from 1 species